rnacentral:rRNA from 1 species
GAAUUCGCCCUUAGAGUUUGAUCCUGGCUCAGGAUGAACGCUGGCGGCGUGCCUAACACAUGCAAGUCGAGCGAUCUUCUUCGGAAGAGAGCGGCGGACGGGUGAGUAACGCGUGGGUAACCUGCCCUGUACACACGGAUAACAUACCGAAAGGUAUGCUAAUACGAGAUAAUAUACUUUUAUCGCAUGGUAGAAGUAUCAAAGCUCCGGCGGUACAGGAUGGACCCGCGUCUGAUUAGCUAGUUGGUGAGGUAACGGCUCACCAAGGCGACGAUCAGUAGCCGACCUGAGAGGGUGAUCGGCCACAUUGGAACUGAGACACGGUCCAAACUCCUACGGGAGGCAGCAGAAGGG